rnacentral:lncRNA from 1 species
CAUCUUCUUUCACCGUUUGCACAUCUUUGUGAAACGCUUUCACUCUUCUUUCUGAAACAAUCUACCUCCUUGUGAUUGUUCUUCUUACACACGCCACACCACAUGUUGGUCUUCCCAUGGCGAAUUUUAUUUUGCUUGUUUCCUCCUCUUGAGCCAAGCUUUUCUCCGUAAAACGCACCCUUAUUGAUACGAUCUUCUCGGAGAUUUAAACACCUCUCAUGCGUCUUCAAUGUUCCUAUCAAUUCUGUGAAAGAAAGAGUUAAUAGGUCUUCUGUUUGUUCAAGUACCCCAACGAUACUGUCGAAUUGUUGUGGUACGGAGAUUAGAAUCUUUUGAACCACUUGGUAAUCAGACUUCUCUUCUCCAUGAACUCUUAGUUGAUUGCUCAGAUUAAUCAACUUAGUUGUGAAAUCAUUUAUGGUUUAACCUUCUUCCAUAUUCAGAUUCUCAUAUUCUCUUCUUAAGGUCUGUAGAUUAAUCAUCUUUACUUGUGAACUUCCUUGGCAGUCCAUUUCCAAAGCGUUCCAAGCCUCUCUUGCGGUCGAUGCGGGAGCAAUUCUCGGAAAUAUGGAUUCUGAUAACACCGUAUUUUGACCACUUUUAUGGAUCGUUUUGAAAUACUUUUUCUAUGUUUUUAAUUAUUUUUAAGUAUUUUUAUCACGUUUUUCUAGUAUUUGUAGUUCCAAGACUCUUUUCAGGAAACUUAGGGAAAACUUAACAAAAUGAAUAGAAGACCAGAUUUCAGCUCAGAGUUAAACCGUCAGAAGUUCACCCCCGAUUAAAGGCCUUCUCACCGUCUGAUCCAGCUUAAAUUUGGAGAUCUUAAAGAUGGAAGUAUCAGCUUUCCAGCACACUUUACAGCUUGGCAAUUUAACGGUUCAAUCAAAAGAUACGCGAAGAGCAAGAUGUCUCGUAAACCAGCCGGCAAGCAUUUCCACCCGCGGCCAACAGGCCAUUUCCCGCAGCCACAAGCUCCCCGACCGCGGCCAGCCAACUCCGAACCCGAAGGCCCAUUUCUGAAGGCCAAAAUGAUUCCUUCAUUUGGAGAAACCCUAAGUGACGCCCAGAAAUGUCUUAAGCACUAUAAAUACAUGUCUUAGGAACCCUAAUUCAUAUCAUCACCUUUUACACCAUCUUGUUCUCUUGAACCAUUGUUCUUUCUUUUUCAAUUUCGGUUUCUGUACUACUUUUUAAUACUAUGUUUUUGAUUUCGUUUAUCAUGUCUGAGUAGUUUUAUUGUUGGGUCUAAGAGAUUUUCGAUGUGGGUAUAUAUGUUCGGUGAGGAUUCCAUUGGCUAUUGAGCCGAAUCUUAGAACUUUUUCUUCUGAAUUCGUUUUUACUGCAUGAGAGUAGCGUCAUGAACUACAAUCUGAUCCACAUGCUUGGUGACAUGAAAGUGUUC